rnacentral:lncRNA from 1 species
CAGUUCUUCGCAGGCACACGCUGACGCAUCAAUGUGGUACACGGCUUUACAAAACGUUGCUAUCAGAUUAUGCACAAGAGCUCCUUGCGAGCCCCGAAAUACAAUUUUUGGCUUUUGCGGUAUCGGAUGCACAUGUAGGCCAUGGAAGAAGGAUUACCACUGCCUGUCCAUAUUUGACUUGGCGUAAACUAACAAGGAACGAAAUUAGCCGUUUGAUGCCGCUGCGGAAUUCACUGUGAACAUGGCUAAACCUCCAAUAAAUGAUGCUCCAUUACUGCA